rnacentral:lncRNA from 1 species
CUAAAAGCCUCCAUUCUAGCUUCCUCCAUAAGAACCCCACCCUAUUUUUCAUUAGCGAAAAGAAUGUCAUUAAAAUCACCUCCUACUAACCAUGGUAGCAAAUUGUUUCUCCCUAAGCAGCGAAGCAAAUCCCACGUAGCAGAUUUAUCCCUUACAUCCGGCACCCCCAUAAAAUCCCGUAAAUUUCCAGCGUGGAGUAUCUUCCUCUUCUUGGAUUUCAACAUCAAUGUGAUUUUUGGAGAAACU